rnacentral:rRNA from 1 species
UGUGUGGAGGUAGUGACAAUAAAUCACAAUGCGGAACAAUGUUUUGCAAUUGGAUUGAGAACAACGUACAAACCUUAUCGAUAAACAAUUGGAGGGCAAGUCUGGUGCCAGCAGCCGCGGUAAUUCCAGCUCCAAUAGCGUAUAUUAACGUUGUUGCAGUUAAAAAGCUCGUAGUUGAAAUGAAGGGUAGUUGUGUAAUGAAUACAUUCGUGUAUUUUGUUAUUCUACUACCCUCCUUCUAAAUUCGAUAUAUGAGUAUUAAUUUACUUGUAUAUGGUUUUAGACAUUUACUGUGAGAAAAUUAGAGUGUUCAAAGCAGGCAUUUGCUUGAAUAUAUUAGCAUGGAAUAAUCAUGUAUGAUUUUCAUGAUGUAUUUGAUUGGUUUGGUUGAUGAGAAUAAGAUUAAAAGGGACAGUUGGGGGUAUUCAUAUUCAAUAGUCAGAGGUGAAAUUCUCGGAUUUAUGGAAGAUGAACAAGUGCGAAAGCAAC